UAAUUACAUUAUUGCUUACUGUUGGGCUUACUAUAAUGAUGCAAAAUCAUCAAGUUAUCCUAAUAGUAGUGGAGUUUUUGUUUAUCGACACUGCUGUAUAGUUCAUAUAAAUGUCUAAAGGAUUAAACAGGGAUGGAAAUCACUGGUUAUAUUUAAAUGCAAUAAAGGGUGCCUUUGAGAUUUUAAUUUCUUUGGAAGUGCUCUCAUUAGAUGAUCAAAGCUAUGAAUGCAAUAUGUAGUAUGUUGAAUUCCUUGCUGGAUUACCUAGAAUUAAGAAAUCUAGCCUGCCCCUUAUUUGCCUGUCCUUUGGGCUCUAAACCAAAUUAUGCCCUUUUCAUUUGCUUUGUACCGUCUAGUAGGUUGGGAUGAUAGUUUUCUCUUCAAUCUCCCCCCCCAAAAAAAAAAUCCACUUCUUUUUCUCUUUUCUUGAUUUGCGAAGCCCUCAAAAGCAUGAACCUAGCUUGAAAAUUUAGGUUCUUUAUCUUAAUUUACCGUCACUACUAGUUUUCAUCAUAAAAGACAAAUGAAACAAAAUCGUGUUAAAGAACAAACUUUUCAUGGUCAACUGUAUUAGAAACCGAAUCAAACAAUAAUUUUGUGUGAUUUCCAAAUAUUUCCAACCUGCCCCAGUUUAACUGUUGGAGACUGGGAUUUUAUUAGGAUGGAAACAUGAAUUGCACAGUUACUGACAUAAUCUUGUGUGUGAAAUGGUUUAUUCAUGGAUGCAUUCUGUGCACCAACAGAAGAUUGAAUUGCAUAAUGGUUUUUUUUUUUUUU